GAAAGACAUCAACUCAGUGACUUGAGAUAUGACUGCACUGUGCUGUUGCUGGUGACUCCAGUUAAUUCUACAAGACAUGCUGUGACAACAGGAGAGAUGAGUCCUCCAUCACAGAUGGUGUGGUCAGUGAAGAUGGUCGCCUGCAGGUUCAAGCUCAUUGCAUCUCCAACCCACAUCCACUGCCACUGUACUUAAGGGAAGUUAAAGACUUUCUUCUGCACCUACAUUUGGAUCACCUGGAUCCAUGACAGUCAUUC